rnacentral:other from 1 species
GAGCAGGACACAUCAGGAUGAUGUUGCUUCAGGAUGAAGUGAAGGACACACUCAGGAAGAGUGAUAAAGGAUGUGCCACAGGACGUUGGCCAAGGAUACUUCAGGAUGAAGUCAGGGACACCUCCAGGACGGAGAUUGAGAGCCAGUUAGGAUAACAGGCGGGUCAGGAAGACUGAGGAACAGCAUCAGGAUGAUGCAGGAUGAAAGUUGGACGAUACGACGGAUUGUCGGGAAAUGGAUAGCCGUACGGAAAAGUUUUCACGGAUGAGCAGGGAGCACAAUGAGUAGCUGGAUUGCUAUAAAACGAACCGGGCGUACUGUGUAAAAACAGUACGCCCUUUUUUUU